CUCAGAUCAGACCUUUAUACCCGGUGCAGAGCAGCCCCUGGAUGAGGCUGCCCCUGGAAGGAGGUGUGGCCUUGGACAGGUCGUUUUCUUCUGCUGAGGCAGUCCUCAAAGAGGAUCUCUCAGGAGCCUGUGGACCCUGAGAAGAUGAAGAAGCCCUGUGUUGCACCUAUUUUGCUGAUAAGAUGAGUAAACCAAGGCUCAGAGAGGAGAAGAAAUUUGCUCAAAACCAUGCUGUACUGAGCUGGGAUGGGAAUCUGGCCCCAAAGCCCUCUCUGGACUCUGCCUUCUGUCGACCUUUGCUUCUACCCCACAGUGUUUGGGGAGCAGAUUCAUUGAGAAGAGGUCACAGAACUUGUAGUCAUUCACCCUAGACUGCUGGAGUCACUCUCCUCCAUCUCUUCAACAUGAGCUUCACUCAUGGAAAGGGUCAAUCAACAAACUGUUACCACGUGUCUCUCCCGGGCUGGGUCAUGCACUGGAUGCUGAGGGAUGAGCCAGACACAGUCCUGCCCUUGAAGACUCAGGACGGCAUACCGUCAGCAUCAUGACUAGAAAGCAUCGAAGAAAACGUAACGAAAUAAGCUCAUACUCUGUUUCUAAAGGCAAGGAAGUAUAUUCUACAUUUUGGAAAUCUUUCCACUCAAAAUUGUCAAAACAGAAAAACAAAGCCUUGUCGCUUAAGGGAAUAAGCUUCAAUGCUGGGGAAAAAAUUGCUCACAUGGAGCUGGCUCAUUUCCAAACACACUUGAUCAACGAGAGGUUACCACGUGGUGUUUGUAAAGGGGAGUUCAAACGUUGUUCUCGUAUAGCACAGAGGGUCCUGCGGGCUGCACAGACCCUCGUUUUCAGUCUCGGUGGUGACUUCAGUGUUUCAAACAAUUGAGAGGGGGGGAUUAGUUCUAAAGUCUUAUGAAUUGUGAAUAACUAUGAACGAAUUCUUACUUGUCUUUCUAAAGUAGAUUUCGUAUCUUUAUGAGCUAUUUCAUUUUUCCAUUAAAGUUUAAAAAAUAUAUUUUGAAUUUUCCCUGGCUUCAAAAUGAAGUCAUAAGACCUCAGAAUUGCCAAC
rnacentral:lncRNA from 1 species